rnacentral:rRNA from 1 species
GAGAAUCGCGGGAAGAGAGGGGGGGGAAAACGUGGUGGGGAAGGGGUGACGGGAAGUGUAGGGCGGAAAGCGAGAGAAAGGGGGACGGAAAGUCGGAGGGGAAAGGGCACGGCUGAAGCGUGGAGGGGAAGUGGAAACGGGGGGACUUGAGUGCAGAAGAGGAAAGCGGAAUUCGACGGGGAGGGGGGAAAUGCGGAGAGAUGUGGAGGAACACCAGUGGCGAAGGCGGCUUGCUGGGCUGUAACUGACGCUGAGGCGCGAAAGCGUGGGGAGCAAACAGGAUUAGAUACCCCAGUAGUC